CCUACGGGGGGCAGCAGUAGGGAAUCUUCCGCAAUGGGCGAAAGCCUGACGGAGCAACGCCGCGUGAGUGAUGAAGGUCUUCGGAUCGUAAAACUCUGUUGUUAGGGAAGAACAAAUUUGUUAGUAACUGAACAAGUCUUGACGGUACCUAACCAGAAAGCCACGGCUAACUACGUGCCAGCAGCCGCGGUAAUACGUAGGUGGCAAGCGUUAUCCGGAAUUAUUGGGCGUAAAGCGCGCGUAGGCGGUUUCUUAAGUCUGAUGUGAAAGCCCACGGCUCAACCGUGGAGGGUCAUUGGAAACUGGGAAACUUGAGUGCAGAAGAGGAGAGUGGAAUUCCAUGUGUAGCGGUGAAAUGCGCAGAGAUAUGGAGGAACACCAGUGGCGAAGGCGGCUCUCUGGUCUGUAACUGACGCUGAUGUGCGAAAGCGU
rnacentral:rRNA from 1 species